rnacentral:tRNA from 2 species
GGCUUUAUAUUCAAAGUAAUAUGAUAUUAGACUGCAAUUCUAAAGGUGUUUAUACUAAGGCCU